rnacentral:rRNA from 1 species
UACGUAGGGUGCAAGCGUUGUCCGGAAUUAUUGGGCGUAAAGAGCUCGUAGGCGGUUUGUCGCGUCUGCUGUGAAAACGCGAGGCUCAACCUCGCGCCUGCAGUGGGUACGGGCAGACUAGAGUGCGGUAGGGGAGAUUGGAAUUCCUGGUGUAGCGGUGGAAUGCGCAGAUAUCAGGAGGAACACCGAUGGCGAAGGCAGAUCGCUGGGCCGUAACUGACGCUGAGGAGCGAAAGCGUGGGGAGCGAACAGG